GACGAACCGUCCGAACGUUAUUCGGAAUCACUGGGCUUAAAGGGUGCGUAGGCGGCGCGGAAAGUUGGGUGUGAAAUCCCUCGGCUUAACCGAGGAACUGCGCCCAAAACUACCGUGCUCGAGGGAGAUAGAGGUGAGCGGAACUUAGGGUGGAGCGGUGAAAUGCGUUGAUAUCCUAAGGAACACCGGUGGCGAAAGCGGCUCACUGGAUCUCUUCUGACGCUGAGGCACGAAAGCUAGGUAGCGAACGGG
rnacentral:rRNA from 1 species